rnacentral:rRNA from 1 species
AUUGAACGCUGGUGGCAGGCCUAACACAUGCAAGUCGAGCGGAUGAAGGGAGCUUGCUCCUGGAUUCAGCGGCGGACGGGUGAGUAAUGCCUAGGAAUCUGCCUGGUAGUGGGGGAUAACGUCCGGAAACGGGCGCUAAUACCGCAUACGUCCUGAGGGAGAAAGUGGGGGAUCUUCGGACCUCACGCUAUCAGAUGAGCCUAGGUCGGAUUAGCUAGUUGGUGGGGUAAAGGCCUACCAAGGCGACGAUCCGUAACUGGUCUGAGAGGAUGAUCAGUCACACUGGAACGGAGACACGGUCCAGACUCCUACGGGAGGCAGCAGUGGGGAAUAUUGGACAAUGGGCGAAAGCCUGAUCCAGCCAUGCCGCGUGUGUGAAGAAGGUCUUCGGAUUGUAAAGCACUUUAAGUUGGGAGGAAGGGCAGUAAGUUAAUACCUUGCUGUUUUGACGUUACCAACAGAAUAAGCACCGGCUAACUUCGUG